CUUCUGCGGUGAUGAAUUUAUGAAAACCAAUUCACAUGUCAGACUUCAGAGAUUCUUCAAUCAAUGAGAAGAAAUUUCAUACUUCUGAGCAGAAG
rnacentral:snoRNA from 1 species